AAGAAAGUGUCAGAGUGGUAAUGUAGAUGGCUUGAAACCAUCUCACGGGGGUUCGAUUCCCUCCUUUCUCG
rnacentral:tRNA from 1 species